ensembl:lncRNA
ACUGUGUGCUCUGGGAGGCAGGAAAAACUGGACUGUAGAGAAAGAUGACUAAAACAGCGUCAGGGAGAAAAAAGUAGAGAUGAGAAACCAGGUUGCCACUGGAAGAAAAGGGGAGCGGGUGAGAGAAUAGCUGUGUACAUUCCCAGGGGCCUCUCAGGGCUUUGUUCUGACCCCCAUGAGGCCCAGCUGCCCUUCUGGCCCUGGCCCAUGUCCAGCCCACUCUCCAUUUUAGCUCAGGCAAGCUUGAGCUGUAUCUGUUACGUGAAACCCAAGGAGCCUUGGCUAAGCAAGUGAGCUGGCACAGAAAGAGAGGCCAAGCCAGGCAUUCUGGUUGCACAGGCAGGGUCCACACGGAGAUGCCCCUGUGGGGGGUGGGGUGGUCCCAUCACACUGGUCUGCCAGAAUCAGACAUGCAUACAAGUGAUUUUUCCUGAUGAUAAAACUGAAUAGAACAGAUUCAUAGUUAUUCCAAAACAAUGUUCUCUCUUAGUCACUUCCUUAAAUGCUUUCUUGUGUAGUAGGAAGCAGCUGGCAUCGUAGAUGGCACGCCCAGAAUUGUGUCUAACCCUGAAUAUUUUUAAAGGGGUACAUGUACCUACAGCUGUCAUUGGUCAUACAUGUUGCAGGAGACGAAACAAGGCGCAGCUGGAUAGGCACUGGCCUCUUCUAAGGAGCUCUAAGUCCCCGUCACUGGGCCACUGGACAUUCAUCUGUAGCUUUGGCCCUUCCCCAGAUUCAGCGUCAAAUCCUGUCUCCAGCUGAAGGCCUUAAGCAGCCCUGUUUCGGUAGUUCAGGAUAUAAUUAGGAUAUCCUGUAACUUGUCCUGAUCAGAUGCCCUGGUUCUGGCCUCUCGGCUUUUGCCUUCAAUCUGGUAUUGAGUCCUUGUUCUAAUUCCCUGUUGUAGAGUCUGAGUCCUUGGCUCCCCAGGUUUUAGCCCCUCUUCCAUAAUCUGACCAGGACCCUGGCCUUUUCAAAAUCAGGACUCUUAACUUGUUUACGUCUAUUUUCUCCAGGUGUCACACCUGAAAUGCGGACCAAGCUGGGAACUCACUAAACUGCCACUUGUCCUGUCUGACUGACACUGCCAGUCUGGGUCACUCACACUAUUCCUCCCCCAUGCCUACUUUCACCACUGCCCAUAAUCACAUUUGUUCCGUGUAUAGGACACCUACAUUUUGCUACCUUCUAGAUCUUUCUAAUUUCAAUUGAUUCUAAUUAAUCUCUCUCAAUUAUGAUGUCACCUGUUACUACUCUCAGGAACCAUGUGGUCCUGCACAUCUGCCUGCCUGGCACACUCCUCCACUGAUUUCAACUGGGCACCAGUCACAAAGCCUCACACAUAGCAGGGGAUAGGGAGAUGGUGUGGCAUGCGGAGACUGCAACAUGAACAUGGGCAUCCUGGGCAGACCUGAGUUUAUAUCCUAGCUCCUCCACUUGCCCCAGUUCUCUAAUGCCUGUAGGACUCAAAGGUGUUGAAAGUAUUAUAUGAGGUAAUAUAUCUGUUAAAAUUUAGUACUUAUUUAAUAAAAUACCAAUUUUUUUUCUUUUCAGAUGCACAGCACAACAUGUGGGAUCUUAGUUCCCCGAGCAGGGGUCGAACCCAUUUCCCCUGCAGUGGAAGCAUGGAGUUUUAACCACUGUACCACCAGGGAAGUCCCCAUCAAUUUCAAUACUUACUAAAACACAUGUCUUUCUUUCUCGAACUUGUAUUUCUAACAGGUUUAUUGAGAUAAAAUCUACAAAUCACUCAACCUAGUGAUUUAAAGGGUACAAUUCAAUGGUUUUUAGUAUAUUCACUGAACUUAUAUUUCUUAAAAUGGAAUUAUAUCAUAAAGGCUAUGAGAACUAUUAACAGCUAAAAAGGCUUAGAUUUUAAUCAGCUAUGAUUUUUUGUAAAUCAAGAGUGUGAUGGCAUUGUGUUGCCAAAAAAUCUUACGUGACAUUGGGCUAAGCUGAUACACAUGUCCAUUCUUCCUCCCACUUCUCAUUCCGACUCUGUUUUUUAAUUAGAGGAAAAGAGAAAAGGAAGCCCCAAAUCUUCAAUAUGGAUUUUUUUAAAAGCACUUCCAAUGAUGAUGGAAAUAUUUAUAAAAUAAGACUUUGGCAUUACCUAAUUAGGAUAUUGUGCUCAUCUCUUCCCCACUCUGUGUUAAGGGACUUCGUCUUAGUACUUGAAACUGGCCAUGGUGGAAACAGCUACAGAAAUUAGCAAACAGAGCAAAUCAUCUUCCCCUACUCCUCCACUCAUCAACCAGUGCCCACUGCUUUAGCAUCCAUGCUACACCAUGAUGACAGAGCUGGCACUGUUAAUAAUGACAAUAGACCCUCUACUAGAUUUCUUGACCAUGUGUCUCUAUAAGAAAUAUAUUUACAGAUAAUGGUAGUUAACUUCCAUAUAAGGGCAAUCUGGAAUUUAAGUAAUUUAUUGUAGUUUCAGAUGAGUAGAAUAUUUAGGGGGAAAUAUCUGAGGGAGACUGGGCUCAUUCUUAACGGCCUUCUAGGCCACAUCUCUUUUUCUUUAAGGAAAACCCAUAAUCACCAUGGUCUGUAUAUGGUGUACGUGGUCAGCUACUUAUGGAGUGGCCAUGUAACAGACUAGGAAGACAUGUGCAAAUGAAGGCCCCCUGAACGUGGAACGAUAAAGCACUCUGUUGGCCAGUGCUUGUCCUGCACAAGUGGCUCCUUGUGCCCCCUAUUGGAUUUUGAAAGAACAAUCUCUCAGCAUCGAUUCAAAGGUGAGACUCCAGCAAGUGUUUUCUGCACGUGGAACAUAUUCGUAAUCUCCUUUAAAGCAGAACUAUUGUAAAAAC